rnacentral:misc_RNA from 1 species
AUUUACUUAUGUAAAAUGAUUAAAAUGCAACAUCUAAUAUAUACACGAGUCCUACCAAAAUAAUUGAUGAGGUGACACCGACACUAUAGCAGACCUGAUUAAUCCUCUAUCGGUGCUCUACUGUUACUGCUACUGCUGGUGGUCUCCUGUACCUCGUUGGAGCCAAGUGUGAUCUUGUAAAACUUCAAGCUUCCUGUACUUCGUGG